rnacentral:rRNA from 1 species
UACGAAGGGGGCUAGCGUUGUUCGGAAUUACUGGGCGUAAAGCGCGCGCAGGCGGUCUUCCAAGUCAGUGGUGAAAGCCCGGAGCUCAACUCCGGAAUUGCCAUUGAAACUGUGAGACUGGAGUACGAGAGAGGUGAGUGGAAUUCCCAGUGUAGAGGUGAAAUUCGUAGAUAUUCGGCGGAACACCAGUGGCGAAGGCGACUCACUGGCCCGAUACUGACGCUGAGGCGCGAAAGCGUGGGGAGCAAACAGG